GCUCCACCCACUCCUCUAUUCGCGGCACCGCUCAGCCACGCCCCCUCGGGCCGUUCUUCCCUCUCCGGCCUCCCGAGGACCAUUUGCCGAUUUAGGCACCGCCCCUAACUGGCGGAGGACAGCCAACCGGGUUUCCUCCUUCGACCCAGGCCGGCACCUGCCGGUGGCCCCGCCUCCUUUCGGUCGCCCCUCAUAGGCGGUGACGGUUGGGGAGGAAGGGGCCGCAGACUGAAAUCUGGAUUGAAAGCAAGUUAAGACGGAAAAACAAGUAUUGCAUUGAUGACUUAAGGGGAUGUUGAAGGCCAUGCUGCCUUGCUUAGCAACAUUUUGCAAGCUAUUCAAGACACAGUCAAGUGCCCAGUUGUGUUUUUGAAACAUUAACAGUUUUGUCUUUGACCGUCAGACAUGUUUUCUGGAUUAUUUUUGUUUGCUUGUCUUCAUGAAUGAUUCCUUUUUGCUGGAACAAGAAACAUGCAGAGCCAGAACUUGGUGGAAAUGCAUAGGAGUGUGAAUGUUUCAAGCCAAUUACCUUUGAAAGUCCAGCCUGAAGAGAUAUAUGCCAACUCUGUUGUUGAGAACAACGGUAGAGCCAAUGGACAUAAUGUAAAUCGAAGUAAAAAUCUUGAUGGAAGUUUGGACGUAGAAAUGGUUCAGAAAAACCUUGUUAGCAAGAGUUGUGAAGGAAGAGCAUAUGAAGCAUCACCGGGCAAUCUUCUGGGCACAGUGGAAUCCAGCAGUACUUGGGGUGACUUUGAAGUCUUCAGUGAAGUCAAGCUGAACAACUUAAGCGAAACCCUAGAGUCUUUGGAGAAGAUACAUGAAAAGCAGACUCAUGCAAAUAGUGUUGAUACUGGCAAUCAUUUCACUACCUCAUGGACACAGUUCUUUUCCCAAACAGCUGGACACAGUAGAAGAGAAGCUUCUGCUAAUGAUCCAAAGAAGGCUGUCUUAAGCUCUGAAGAUAUCAUUAAACAAAGCUUUCCGGAAGUUCCUGUACCACAGUUUUUGGAGAAAAUAAACAGUUUGGAACAUGUGCUUGGUACAAAAACAGAAGAUGCAGACAUUCCUGAAUGUACAAAGCAAGAACUUGGCACUGCCUCAACAAACUUAUGGAAAACCCUUAUUCACUCCAGUAACCCUCCCAGUUUACAAUGUCCUUGGAAUGGAUCUCAUUACCAGGAAAACCUUCUAGCUGUGCUUGGAAUAGAUCCUCAUCAAAAGGUGCUUCCAGAAGGUAAGGAUGAUAUUUUGGAGAAAACGAAUAUAAGAGAAAAUGAAGACUCCAGUGUGGAUAAGUGCAAUAUUAGUAAAGCACUCAUACAAACCAAGCUUUCUGUUUGUCCUGAUCCAAGACAGAGCCAUCUUUUUAGAUAUAAUCUCUUCUUGAAGAAAACCCCACCCACAGGAAAUAUGCAAUAUAUAACUGUUCCACAAAAGAAGAAGAUUUUUACUACACAAAACCUACGGAUGAAAAUGUUCAACAGCAAUGUUUGCUAAUGUGCAAGUAAUUUGUGUCCUUUUGUACAAAAGAGUAAAACCUCAUAUAUUGUACAACUAAUUUUAAGAUGAGAAAUGCUUUGUGGAGAGAAAACAAAAACUCGAUUGGUGUGUUUUGCUUUAUUCUGUGGCCAGGGAUAUGACUUUUGUUGUGACACUACCAAGAGCUGCAAAGAAAUCAUGAAAUUAUGCCUCAUGAUAAACUAGCUAGAAUUGUAGUAGAAAUGGACAUGCCCACAUAUAAUGAUUCUGGCUAUGAUGCAAACAGCCUUUUAGGAUUGAACGCCAUUUUUUCAAACUCUUCUGUGUGCUAUAUUAAAAUGUGUGUUGUGUACAUUGUCACCUGUCCCCUAUUUCAGUAUAGGCCCUGAUAACCUGUACAGGUAGUCCCUGCCUGAAUUACUAGUGAUCUCUACUUGCACUGUGGUUCCCCCACUGAUAUAACUUUUUGCCUUGUUUGGUAUUCCCCCUUCUGUAGAGCACAUCAGAAGACACUUUGAUUCUUAGUUUUACAACUUUUUACAACUUUUGCUUCUGCAGCCGGAGAUUAAUAUCUGCUUCAUACAAUUGGUCAGCAAUUUGAGUGGACCAGAUCUAUUCCUCUGUAGCUUGAUGGCAUAGUUAAGUGUGUUGAAUGUGCCACUGUUGUUGGGAUUUUGUAAAAAUUCUUCAAGGGAUUAUCAGAUAUGUAAAUGAUGAGUUCGGUCUUCAGCUAUUCAGUUUGCUCUGACAGCUGCAGUUCCUAGGUUACAUAGGGCCAGUUUUGUCUCUUGAAACCAGGAUACAUUAGUGACUGGCAGACUUUUAAUCACCAGGAAACCUUGUGCAUGUGACACAUAGUAGUGCACUUCCUGAACCGUGUGUACCCACAUAACACUCUCCUGUAGUUGCACAUUUCAUGAACAUUUGGGAAAAUUUGUUUUCAAAUAUGAAUUAUCUCUAGAAACCCAGAACCCUGAUUACUAGAAAGAAAGAUUUCCUUUAAACUAGGGAGCAUUGUUGAAACAUCCAUGAAGUAGUACCACUGUCUUUUAAACUUCAUUAGAUCACUGGCGUUCCCACUAUUACUCCUACACUGCUUUAGUAUCCCUUUGCAUUCACACAGUGUUAUACUCCCAUGCCAUGUCAUCUACAUGCUAACAUCACAGGUAGAGCUCUUUUUUUUUAAAAAAAAAACUCCACAACUUUUGGAAAAUUGUAUUGCCAGAAAAGACCUGGCAUAGGGGCAAUUGCUUAUUUUUUUCUCACUUCCUCUACCUCUCCCAUGCCUUUAAGACAGUUUACCUUUGUAUCCUAUAGAGAAGACAAACAACUUAUCUUGCUCUUGUUUUUUAGUUAUAUUACAUUUUGAGGCUGUUUUAAGACUGUGAAAUCUUAAGGCAGAUACCUUCCAAGACAUCUCCACAUCUCUAGACGAUGUGAUAUUCCAACUCCUCUCUGGCCCAGUCACUAUAACCAGUGGCCACAAACAAUAGAAACUGUUGUUCUCAUUAGCCGGAAAGCCACAGGUUCUCUGCCUUGCUCUAAGAGCUUUUAAUCAACUGGUUUAUUCACAUGUGUUGGUUUCUCUUGUAGACUGUAUUCUCUUGCCUCCUAGGAGAAAUGAUGAGAGGGGUGAGGAUUUUUCCAAGGGCUGCAGUAAAUGCCGGUAUGAAUGCAGCCUACUUUCGACUCCUCAGUGUGGUUAAGAUCUGUGGGAGUUGUGUUCUCACUGCUAGAAUAAAAUGUGCGUGCUGACAGUUUAGAAGAAACUGUUCUAUGUACUUAUUAUUCAUUUUAAUAGCAAUCGUUCAGGUAAGCUUCCAGCUGCAUUUGUUUAGAAGCUGUUUAGUAAUGGGUAUAUGGUGGAAAAGUACAUAGUAAUGGAGGCAAGCUCUCACGGGUUGGACAGUCCUUGUGAACUUUGAAAAAUCCAGGUGUGUUAUAGGACAGUUGACAAAGAACCUAACAAGUCUGCACUGAUAUUUUUAAAAAUGUCUUUAAUAAAAUGUUCACAACAUC